UACGUAGGGUGCAAGCGUUAAUCGGAAUUACUGGGCGUAAAGCGUGCGCAGGCGGUGAUGUAAGACAGAUGGUGAAAUCCCCGGGCUCAACCUGGGAACUGCAUUUGUGACUGCAUCGCUAGAGUACGGCAGAGGGGGAUGGAAUUCCGCGUGUAGCAGUGAAAUGCGUAGAGUAUGCGGAGGAACACCGAUGGCGAAGGCAAUCCCCUGGGCCUGUAACUGACGCUCAUGCACGAAAGCGUGGGGAGCAAGCAGG
rnacentral:rRNA from 1 species